UAAAAAGGUCCUGGAAGACCAGUGUAAUGCAGUAAGGUCUGUGAAAGCAACAAAGGAAGCCAAAGUCAAACAGCUGAAGAAGAAAGCACAUAACCUGGAAGAGUUCUAUGAACAAAGAAAAGUGGCUACAGAAGACUCUUUUUGGGAAUGAAUACAGCGCCCUGAACACCUUUCUAUCUUCAACCCCUUACAACAGAGCCACUACAUUAUAACCACUCCAGAAAGUAUUUGCUGAAGGACUGCCUGAGAGGCCAGAAGGAGAAGAAACUUAAAAUGACACACUGUGAGCUGGUGGCAAAGAAGAAUCAGCAGGAAGCUGCAGGGCCUUUAGCAGAUCCAGAAACUGGUGCGACCUCUGUGAGUUACAGCAGCUCUGACUGUGCCAAGAAUGCAGACGAGGACAAGGUAACUGCUGUGGCCAUUCUCAGUGGUAACUCAGGAAACUCUCAUCAUUCUGCACAGCACCCUCUCCUGGCCUUGCCUCGUGUUGUGUGUUGUGUGAUAUGUCUGCUUGUUAUUUGUUUUCCAAGUGCACACUCUGAUCCGAGGAGCCCACAGGCUUCUCUAUUUUCAGCCUGUCGUCUUUUGUGGUAAGUUUAGAAGCUCAAAGUGCUUAGAGGCUGUGUACCUUAAGGCUCUUCCAUGUGUUUCUGGAAAGAAUGAAAGGAGGAUGACCCCAUGUGGGAGGCGGAGGCAAGAUGGCGCCUUGGCAAUCCGCCCAAGCA